rnacentral:rRNA from 1 species
GAAUUGUUCGCAAUGGGCGCAAGCCUGACGACGCAACGCCGCGUGGAGGACGAAGAUCUUCGGGUCGUAAACUCCUUUCGAUCGGGAAGAACGGCUGCCGGGUGAAUAAUCCGGCAGAGUGACGGUACCGAGAGAAGAAGCCCCGGCUAACUCCGUGCCAGCAGCCGCGGUAAUACGGGGGGGGCAAGCGUUGUUCGGAAUUACUGGGCGUAAAGGGCUCGUAGGCGGCCAACUAAGUCGGAUGUGAAAUCCCCAGGCUCAACUUGGGAAUGGCAUCCGAUACUGGAUGGCUUGAAUCCGGGAGAGGGAUGCGGAAUUCCAGGUGUAGCGGUGAAAUGCGUAGAUAUCUGGAGGAACACCGGUGGCGAAGGCGGCAUCCUGGACCGGUAUUGACGCUGAGUGAGCGAAAGCCAGGGGAGCAAACGG